CACCACCACAGCUGCUGAAAAGAGCUGCCCUUGCUGCUCUGUGGUCCUGUCUCUGUGCAGACUCCCUGCUCAGCCAGCUAAAGCACUGCUCCUCACUCACACAAUCCUAAUACCUUUUUCUCUUCUUCUGUACAGAAAAUGGUGAAGUGAUGACUGGAGCCUCACGGUGCUUUUAGGAAUUGAUGUUUACCUCCCCUUUUGAAGCGAGUCAUUGCUGAUAUGUAGCUGUUGGUUUGAAGACCUUUCCUUUUGUUCUUCUGCCGAAAUCUCAGGUCACUUUUUCAGGAUCAGCAGACUUGCAAGGAACAGCUUUGUUUAUCAGCUUUAACAGUUGAGAUUGAUUGCAAUGAUGAACACCUUAGGUUGGCCUGGAGACAGAAGGAUGGAAGCUGGAGAAAAGCUACGUCUGUGGAGUUUCUGAAGAGCUUGGGGAAAGGUCAGGAAAUAAACUCCAGGGAAAGGAAAGAGCAGAUGGUGCAUAAGAUUGCAUCUUGAAAGCAGGAGGAGGGAGCUGUCCCUGCUCCACACUGAACUUGGGGAGAGGAACCAGGAUGACGGUCAGCACCAGGGGUGCAGCCAGCACUGUUGAAAGCACUGAUUUUGGUAUUUGGCCACCAGGACCCUGGUUGAAGGGUGGUUAGAUGUGGAGCAGUAGACACAAUGAGUGUUUGGUUGAAAGCUUGAGGAAAACUGGUAAAAUGUCUGCUCAUGAGUGUUCACAUCUGUGAAAUUUUUGGAAAGUAUUCCAGGUUAACUGAGUGUGAAAUAUGGUUCUAAACUCCCCUGAAUUUUGUGGACCACAAGAAAAAUGGUCAAUGAGAUGGUAAUAGUAGUAAGAAAGUAACUAAGAAAGUAACUAAAUGGUUGUUAAUAGCAUAAGUCAACCAAAAAAAG
rnacentral:lncRNA from 1 species